AGUCAUAUGCUUGUCUCAAAGAUUAAGCCAUGCAUGUCUAAGUAUAAACAACUUUAUACUGUGAAACUGCGUACAGCUCAUUAUAUCAGUAAUUAUUUAUUUGAUGGUACCUUACUACAUGGAUAACCGUAGUAACCUAGAGCUAAUACAUGCGUAAAAUCCCGACUUCUGGAAGGGACGUAUUUAUUAGAUAAAAGGCCGACCGGGCUUGCCCGACUCGCGGUGAAUCAUGAUAACUUCACGAAUCGCAUGGCCUCGUGCCGGCGAUGUUUCAUUCAAAUUUCUGCCCUAUCAACUUUCAACCGUAAGGUAGUGGCCUACGGUGGUGGUAACGGGUGAC
rnacentral:rRNA from 1 species